rnacentral:rRNA from 1 species
AAACAUGAGAGUUUGAUCCUGGCUCAGAAUCAACGCUGGCGGCGUGCCUAACACAUGCAAGUCGAACGCGAAAGUAGCCUUCGGGCUGCGAGUAGAGUGGCAAACGGGUGAGUAACGCGUGGGUGACCUACCUUCGAGUGGGGGAUAACGUUUCGAAAGGAACGCUAAUACCGCAUAACAUCCUGCCUUUGGAAAGGUGGUGAUCAAAGCCGGGGAUCGCAAGACCUGGCGCUUGAUGAGGGGCCCGCGUCCGAUUAGCUUGUUGGCGGGGUAACGGCCCACCAAGGCGACAAUCGGUAGCCGGCCUGAGAGGGCGGACGGCCACACUGGGACUGAGACACGGCCCAGACUCCUACGGGAGGCAGCAGUGGGGAAUUGUUCGCAAUGGGCGAAAGCCUGACGACGCAACGCCGCGUGGAGGACGAAAACCUUCGGGUCGUAAACUCCUGUCGAGCGGGACGAAUACUGCCUGGGUUAAUAACCCAGGCGGCUGACGGUACCGUUAAAGGAAGCCCCGGCUAACUCCGUGCCAGCAGCCGCGGUAAUACGGGGGGGGCAAGCGUUGUUCGGAUUUACUGGGCGUAAAGAGCUCGUAGGCG